rnacentral:rRNA from 1 species
UACGAAGGGGGCUAGCGUUGCUCGGAAUCACUGGGCGUAAAGCGCACGUAGGCGGUCUUUUAAGUCGGGGGGUGAAAUCCUGGAGCUCAACUCCAGAACUGCCUUCGAUACUGGAAGACUUUGAGUCCGGGGAGAGGUGAGUGGAACUGCGAGUGUAGAGGUGAAAUUCGUAGAUAUUCGCAAGAACACCAGUGGCGAAGGCGGCUCACUGGCCCGGUACUGACGCUGAGGUGCGAAAAGCGUGGGGGAGCAAACA